rnacentral:rRNA from 1 species
GACGAACGCUGGCGGCGUGCUUAACACAUGCAAGUCGAACGGAAAGGCCCUGCUUUUGUGGGGUGCUCGAGUGGCGAACGGGUGAGUAACACGUGAGUAACCUGUCCUUGACUUUGGGAUAACUCCAGGAAACUGGGGCGAAUAUCGGAUAGGAGCUCCUGCUGCAUGGUUGGGGUUGGAAAGUUUCGGCGGUUGGGGAUGGACGUGCGGCUUAUCAGCUUGUUGGUGGGGUAGUGGAUUACCAAGGCUUUGACGGGUAGCCGGCCUGAGAGGGUGACCGGCCACAGUGGGACUGGGAAACGAGCCGGAGUCAUACGGGAGGCAGCAGUGGGAAAUAUUGCGCGAUGGGCGGAAGCCUGAAGGAGCAACGCCGCGUGCGGGAUGACGGCCGUCGGGUUGUAAACCGCUUGAGCGUGUGACGAAGCGUGAGUGACGGUAAUGGGUAAAGAAGCAACGGCUAACUACGUG